rnacentral:rRNA from 1 species
UACGUAGGUGGCAAGCGUUGUCCGGAAUUAUUGGGCGUAAAGCGCGCGCAGGCGGUCCUUUAAGUCUGAUGUGAAAUCUCGCGGCUCAACCGCGAGCGGUCAUUGGAAACUGGGGGGACUCGAGUGCAGAAGAGGAAAGCGGAAUUCCACGUGUAGCGGUGAAAUGCGUAGAGAUGUGGAGGAACACCAGUGGCGAAGGCGGCUUUCUGGUCUGUAACUGACGCUGAGGCGCGAAAGCGUGGGGAGCGAACAGG